AGGCCCUGCCACACAGCACUGGAGACUCGUCCCACUCAGCGCCAGGAUUUCCUUCAGGCUGGUAUUCUUUGCAGACGGCUCUGGGACCUCCAGGUGGGCUGGCUCAGGGAAGAGAACAUGGGCUUCAGAGACAGUCCGAUAAACCUGGGCUCAAGGUCUCUGGCUGCAUUUCGUGAUGAACUUGAUUAAUCUGACUCUGGGGCUUUUUUUUUUUUUUUUCUUCUGUAAAAUGGAAACAGUAAAAUUGCAGUCUUUGUGGGAUCAUUGUGAAGAUGGACUUAAGACAAGACGUGUAGAUCCUUCAGCACAGUGCCGGACAAUCUUAAGUACUCCAAUAAAUGAAGUCAUUAUUUUAAUUACGGUGCUCAGAGACUGUGCAGCGUUCUUUUCUUCAUUGUGAUCUCCAACUCCUAAAGGCUCUGCCUUUGCUUAAAAGUCUCCCAAGAAACACGCACAAAUGUUCCACCAGAGGAGGUGCUAAGUGAUAGGAGUCUUGGCUUUCAUAGCUGUUUUUUAGAAUAUUCCAUGGCUUGGCCAAAAAGGCUGUCUUGGUCACUCUUUGAAUCAGUGUUGCUCUCGUAACAUCUCUAGAGACAGAGGGACACCCGACUGUUGAUGGUGAAGAAGCGGGUAUGUGAAGGGAAGAGAAGUGGGCCCUGUUAUGAUGAUGACAGGAACACAGUGACCUGAAACAGCUGCUGUGUCUCUCACCCUUUGCGUGCUUGAAGAGGAGAGGGUGUGGCCGCCGAUCAUAGGCUAUUGAAUCCAUUGUCAUCAAACUUCCUGUAUGUGGGGGUUACUCUAUCAGGAUGAAGGCCCCAGGCUGGCCCCGAGCAGUCUGAGAGGCCUUCUGUGGCCCUGGAAACAUGGAUCGGACUUGAGAGCCAUGCUGCAGACACACAGAAUGAACGUCUCAGGAGGAUGCGUAUGCCCAGCUGGAAAGAAUCUGGAAAACCGACCCCUUAAAAAUUGCAAGCAGGAGUUCCCUGAGAGAGAUUAAACUUAAGUGUGCCUUUGGGGCAGACUGUUCCCACUUACACAGGCCCUCGCCAUGAACCAGAUGGAACACUGUGUGCUGUGCUGGGGCCCUGUCAUUGCCCCCUUUUUGGCGGCACUGACGGAAGGUGGCACGAAGAGGGCAGAAAUGAUUCCUGGCUCCAUGUGGACUUGGAGCGAGUUGCACUGAAACC